rnacentral:lncRNA from 1 species
GAUUAGUUUAAUUAAUUUCUUUGAAGAAUAGUAUAGCCGCACGGCUAUACAAUUGAAUAUAAUAUAUUUCAAGCGUAUAGCCGGUCGGCUAUACUGUAUAUAUAUUUUUUUUUGGGUCCUUUUUUGUUUUUCCGAAACAGUACUCUUGCUGAUUUUCUUUUAAUAAAUAGUACAGCCGCACGGCUAUACUGGGUUUUUGGAAAAUUUCUUUGAAGGAUAGUAUAGCCGCACGGCUAUACUAAUAAAAUACAUAGGGUGCUUGGAAGUUGGGCCAGACUAGGUAAUUGGAAGUUGGCCCACACAAGGCAAUUGGAAGUUGGGCCAAGUGGAAGCCAAUUGGGCUUCAAAUUCAACUUGGGCAUUGAAUAUAUAAUAUUUAAUUAUCAAAAAGAUGGCCUUAGGCCUUGGGGCACUUGGGCAUUUAUGAUUUAAAUUAAUUAAUUAGUUUCGAAUUAUUAUUAUAAUUUCUUUUUAAAAAAAAAAUUAAAAUUCGGAUUAGUUUAAUUAAUUUCUUUGAAGAAUAGUAUAGCCGCACGGCUAUACAAUUGAAUAUAAUAUAUUUCAAGCGUAUAGCCGGUCGGCUAUACUGUAUAUAUAUUUUUUUUUGGGUCCUUUUUUGUUUUUCCGAAACAGUACUCUUGCUGAUUUUCUUUUAAUAAAUAGUACAGCCGCACGGCUAUACUGGGUUUUUGGAAAAUUUCUUUGAAGGAUAGUAUAGCCGCACGGCUAUACUAAUAAAAUACAUAGGGUGCUUGGAAGUUGGGCCAGACUAGGUAAUUGGAAGUUGGCCCACACAAGGCAAUUGGAAGUUGGGCCAAGUGGAAGCCAAUUGGGCUUCAAAUUCAACUUGGGCAUUGAAUAUAUAAUAUUUAAUUAUCAAAAAGAUGGCCUUAGGCCUUGGGGCACUUGGGCAUUUAUGAUUUAAAUUAAUUAAUUAGUUUCGAAUUAUUAUUAUAAUUUCUUUUUUAAAAAAAAUUUAAAAUUCGGAUUAGUUUAAUUAAAUUCACUGGGGGGCCUAUUUUGUCUUCAUUUUUAAUUUUAAUAAUAAAUAGUAUAACACAUUGCCGUUUAAUAGUCGUGUUAUACACAUACAUACGUAUUUUUCCACAAUACUUCCAUUUUUCGUACACAAGGAAAACGUACAAUACACGCACGUGCGGAUUUUUCAUGUUUAAUACAUGUGUUUUUACAAAAUUGUCAACAAUACACACAAAAUUCACGUAUUAUACACACAAUUUUACAUACUAUUGAAUAAAAAUAAUAUAUAUCGAAAAAUUAUAUAGUGGCCGAACUUUAUGAUCAUUCAUAUGCUUGGUAGUAAGGUAAGUUAGCCCAAGGAAAAAGAAGAAAUCGAUUCAUACCCACUCUUGUAGGGGUUUUUAAAAUCUCUUCUUUUAACAAAUAGUAUAGCCGCAUGGCUAUACUAUUAUUGAACAUAAUAUACUGUACUUUUUUGACCCCUUUUUUUUUUUUGUUUUUUUUCCACCCCCGGAACAGUACCCCUGCUAAUUUUCUCUUAAUAAAUAGUAUAGCCGGGCGGCUACACUGGGUUUUUUGAAAAUUUCUUUGCAGAAUAGUAUAGCCGCACGGCUAUACAAUUGAAUAUAAUAUAUUUCAAGCCUAUAGCCGGUCGGCUAUACUGUAUUUUUUUUUUUGGGUCCUUUUUUGUUUUUCCGAAACAGUACUCUUGCCGAUUUUCUUUUAAUAAAUAGUACAGCCGCACGGCUAUACUGGGUUUUUGGAAAAUUUCUUUGAAGGAUAGUAUAGCCGCACGGCUAUACUAAUAAAAUACAUUGGGUGCUUGGAAGUUGGGCCAGACUAGGUAAUUGGAAGUUGGCCCACACAAGGCAAUUGGAAGUUGGGCCAAGUGGAAGCCAAUUGGGCUUCAAAUUCAACUUGGGCAUUGAAUAUAUAAUGUUUAAUUAUCAAAAAGAUGGCCUUAGGCCUUG